rnacentral:rRNA from 1 species
GUAGGUGGCAAGCGUUGUCCGGAUUUAUUGGGUUUAAAGGGUGCGUAGGCGGCUUUGUAAGUCAGUGGUGAAAUAUGGCAGCUCAACUGUCAAGGUGCCAUUGAUACUGCGGAGCUUGAGUACAGAUGAGGUAGGCGGAAUUGACGGUGUAGCGGUGAAAUGCUUAGAUAUCGUCAAGAACACCUAUAGCGAAGGCAGCUUACUAGGCUGUAACUGACGCUGAGGCACGGAAGUGUGGGGAUCAAACAGGAUUAGAUACCCUGGUAGUCCACACUGUAAACGUUGAUUACUCGCUGUGUGCGAUAUACAGUACGCGGCCAAGCGAAAGCGCUAAGUAAUCCACCUGGGGAGUACGCCGGCAACGGUG